rnacentral:rRNA from 1 species
UUUGUAGAAUGAACCGGCGAGUUACGAUCUGAUGCAAGGUUAAGCAGAAAAUGUGGAGCCGUAGCGAAAGCGAGUCUGAAUAGGGCGUUGAGUAUUUGGUCGUAGACCCGAAACCAGGUGAUCUACCCAUGGUCAGGUUGAAGUUCAGGUAACACUGAAUGGAGGACCGAACCGACUUACGUUGAAAAGUGAGCGGAUGAACUGUGGGUAGCGGAGAAAUUCCAAUCGAACUUGGAGAUAGCUGGUUCUCUCCGAAAUAGCUUUAGGGCUAGCCUCAAGUGAUGAUUAUUGGAGGUAGAGCACUGUUUGGACGAGGGGCCCUUCUCGGGUUACCGAAUUCAGACAAACUCCGAAUGCCAAUUAAUUUAACUUGGGAGUCAGAACAUGGGUGAUAAGGUCCGUGUCCGAAAGGGAAACAGCCCAGACCACCAGCUAAGGUCCCAAAAUAUAUGUUAAGUGGAAAAGGAUGUGGCGUUGCCCAGACAACUAGGAUGUUGGCUUAGAAGCAGCCAUCAUUUAAAGAGUGCGUAAUAGCUCACUAGUCGAGUGACACUGCGCCGAAAAUGUACCGGGGCUAAACAUAUUACCGAAGCUGUGGAUUGUCCGUAGGACAAUGGUAGGAGAGCGUUCUAAGGGCGUCGAAGCAUGAUCGCAAGGACAUGUGGAGCGCUUAGAAGUGAGAAUGCCGGUGUGAGUAGCGAAAGACGGGUGAGAAUCCCGUCCACCGAUUGACUAAGGUUUCCAGAGGAAGGCUCGUCCGCUCUGGGUUAGUCGGGUCCUAAGCUGAGGCCGACAGGCGUAGGCGAUGGAUAACAGGUUGAUAUUCCUGUACCACCUAGCAUCGUUUUAAUCGAUGGGGGGACGCAGUAGGAUAGGCGAAGCGUACGAUUGGAUUGUACGUCCAAGCAGUGAGAUUGAGUGUUAGGCAAAUCCGGCACUCGUAAGAUUGAGCUGUGAUGGGGAGAGGAAAUUGUUUCCUCGAGUCGUUGAUUUCACACUGCCGAGAAAAGCCUCUAGAUAGAUAAUAGGUGCCCGUACCGCAAACCGACACAGGUAGUCAAGAUGAGAAUUCUAAGGUGAGCGAGCGAACUCUCGUUAAGGAACUCGGCAAAAUGACCCCGUAACUUCGGGAGAAGGGGUGCUCUUUAGGGUGCAAGCCCAGAAGAGCCGCAGUGAAUAGGCCCAAGCGACUGUUUAUCAAAAACACAGGUCUCUGCUAAACCGUAAGGUGAUGUAUAGGGGCUGACGCCUGCCCGGUGCUGGAAGGUUAAGAGGAGUGGUUAGCUUCUGCGAAGCUACGAAUCGAAGCCCCAGUAAACGGCGGCCGUAACUAUAACGGUCCUAAGGUAGCGAAAUUCCUUGUCGGGUAAGUUCCGACCCGCACGAAAGGCGUAACGAUUUGGGCACUGUCUCAACGAGAGACUCGGUGAAAUCAUAGUACCUGUGAAGAUGCAGGUUACCCGCGACAGGACGGAAAGACCCCGUGGAGCUUUACUGUAGCCUGAUAUUGAAAUUCGGCACAGCUUGUACAGGAUAGGUAGGAGCCUUUGAAGCGUGAGCGCUAGCUUACGUGGAGGCGCUGGUGGGAUACUACCCUAGCUGUGUUGGCUUUCUAACCCGCACCACUUAUCGUGGUGGGAGACAGUGUCAGGCGGGCAGUUUGACUGGGGCGGUCGCCUCCUAAAAGGUAACGGAGGCGCUCAAAGGUUCCCUCAGAAUGGUUGGAAAUCAUUCAUAGAGUGUAAAGGCAUAAGGGAGCUUGACUGCGAGACUUACAAGUCGAGCAGGGUCGAAAGACGGACUUAGUGAUCCGGUGGUUCCGCAUGGAAGGGCCAUCGCUCAACGGAUAAAAGCUACCCCGGGGAUAACAGGCUUAUCUCCCCCAAGAGUUCACAUCGACGGGGAGGUUUGGCACCUCGAUGUCGGCUCAUCGCAUCCUGGGGCUGUAGUCGGUCCCAAGGGUUGGGCUGUUCGCCCAUUAAAGCGGUACGCGAGCUGGGUUCAGAACGUCGUGAGACAGUUCGGUCCCUAUCCGUCGUGGGCGUAGGA